GACGAACGCUGGCGGCGUGCUUAACACAUGCAAGUCGAACGGAAAGGCCCUGCUUUUGUGGGGUGCUCGAGUGGCGAACGGGUGAGUAACACGUGAGUAACCUGCCCUUGACUUUGGGAUAACUUCAGGAAACUGGGGCUAAUACCGGAUAGGAGCUCCUGCUGCAUGGUGGGGGUUGGAAAGUUUCGGCGGUUGGGGAUGGACUCGCGGCUUAUCAGCUUGUUGGUGGGGUAGUGGCUUACCAAGGCUUUGACGGGUAGCCGGCCUGAGAGGGUGACCGGCAAGAGGUGAGUGGAGGGAGGGACGGGGCGUGUGGGGGGGGCAGCAGGGGGACAUAUGGAACAAGGGGAGAGGAGCUGACGCGGGCAGGGUGCGUGAGGGAUAAGGGCGUUGGGGUUGAGCAGCGAUGGCGCAUGGGACGGAGUGGGGGUGACGGUAGUGGGUAAGAAAGAACGGGGAAAUUACGGGACAGAGCGCGGGGGAUGGAUGAGGAGCAGACGUCGGAAC
rnacentral:rRNA from 1 species